rnacentral:rRNA from 1 species
GACGAACGCUGGCGGCGUGCUUAACACAUGCACGUCGAACGGAAAGGCCCUGCUUUUGUGGGGUGCUCGAGUGGCGAACGGGUGAGUAACACGUGAGUAACCUGCCCUUGACUUUGGGAUAACUUCAGGAAACUGGGGCUAAUACCGGAUAGGAGCUCCUGCUGCAUGGUGGGGGUUGGAAAGUUUCGGCGGUUGGGGAUGGACUCGCGGCUUAUCAGCUUGUUGGUGGGGUAGUGGCUUACCAAGGCUUUGACGGGUAGCCGGCCUGAGAGGGUGACCGGCCACAUUGGGACUGAGAUACGGCGCAGACUCCUACGGGAGGCAGCAGGGGGGAAUAUUGCACAAUGGGCGGAAGCCUGAUGCAGCAACGCCGCGUGCGGGAUGACGGCCUUCGGGUUGUAAACCGCUUUCGCCUGUGACGAAGCGUGAGUGACGGUAAUGGGUAAAGAAGCACCGGCUAACUACGUG